rnacentral:rRNA from 1 species
CAGUCGCCGCGGGAAUACCAGCAGCCCAAGUGGUGGUCGCGAUUAUUGGGCCUAAAGCGCUCGUGGCCGGGCCGGUAAGUCCCUUGUGAAAUCGGACGGCCUAACCGUUCGGCGUGCAAGGGAUACUGUCGGUCUUGAGGCCGGGAGACGUCCGAGGUACUCCGGGGGUAGCGGUGAAAUGUUCUGAUCCUCGGGGGACCACCGGUGGCGAAGGCGUUCGACGAGAACGGGCCUGACGGUGAGGGGCGAAGGCUAGGGGAGCAAACGGGAUUAGAUACCCGUGUAGUCCCUGUCUCUUAUA